rnacentral:rRNA from 1 species
UUGGAGGGCAAGUCUGGUGCCAGCAGCCGCGGUAAUUUCCAGCUCCAAUAGCGUAUAUUAAAGUUGUUUGCAGUUAAAAAGCUCGUAGUUGAAUUUCGGGAUCAGUACGCUGGUCGUGCCUCCGGUAUGUACUGGUGUCACUGGUUCCUCCCUUCUGAAGAACCAUCAUGCUAUUAAUUUAGUGUGGUGGGAAAUCAGGACUGUUACUUUGAAAAAAUUAGAGUGUUUAAAGCAGGCUCACGCUUGAAUACAUUAGCAUGGAAUAAUGAAAUAGGACGUUGAUCCUAUUUUGUUGGUUUCUAGGAUUGACGUAAUGAUUAAUAGGGAUAGUUGGGGGCAUUAGUAUUCAAUUGUCAGAGGUGAAAUUCUUGGAUUUAUUGAAGACUAACUACUGCGAAAGCAUUUGCCAAGGAUGUUUUCAUUAAUCAAGAACGAAAGUUAGGGGAUCGAAGACGAUCAGAUACCGUCGUAGUCUUAACCAUAAACUAUGCCGACUAGGGAUCGGAUGAUGUUAAUUUUUUAAUGACUCAUUCGGCGCCUUACGGGAAAC